UAAUCUUACUGCAUGCUCAUAAGCUUAUGUAAACCUUUUGAUUAACUAAGCGGGACCUGGAAAUCUGUUGUUAUAAAGUGAGGCUCCGAGUAAACAGUUCACAUGUGGUUAGAUAAGAAUGACUCGCGCGCCUUUUGUAGUUAGUCUUCUUCAUUUGUUGAACAGUUGUGCUUGGAGCGCGUAGAGUCAUAGUAAUCAAAUAAAUUUUAGUGCUUCUCGUUCUCGAGGGUUUACAGGCUGCAAAAUCAGUAUUACUUCAAUUGUUAGAGUUGAAAGACUCUAUUAAAAUAGUUUGAGAAAAGUGGGAUUUAUUUAUUAAAAGAACAAAUUAAAGUUUAUUUGGGCUUUUUAUAACUUCUAAUGAACAACUCUAGAGGUCACUCAAAAACACCGCCUUUAAAAGGCGCUUUCCCUCUGGAUAUACAUGUAAGUGCCAAAAGGAAAGUGAAGCGUAUUUAAAUUGUAGGAUGGAAAAAAAGCUUAUGGAAAAAGAAGACCUCAGGAAACUCGGUUUUCGCACAGAAUAACCAGGACUAUUUUUUUACUUUAAUUAUUUUUGUGAAUUAUUAUUUUUUAGACUUUUAGAUCUUUAUGAGAACUGUGAGAUUGAAAUUAUUUUCAAAGUUACGUAGCUGCUGUGAAAUUUUGUAGCUUACCGGGACAGGAAACAAUAUUUAACGGCACUGAAGUGGAUAUAAUAAAUUU